rnacentral:rRNA from 1 species
GUCUACGGCCAUGCCGCCCUGAACAAGCCCGAUCCCAUCUGCUCUCAGAAGCUAACCAGGGUCGGGCCUGGUUAGUACUUGGAUGGGUGACCACCUAGGAAGACCAGGUGAUAUAGGCA